GGGGGGACGGAGAAGGCUAGGUGGGCCUGGCGACGGUUGUCCAGGUUCAAGUGCGUAGGCUUAAGAGUUAGGUAAACCGGCUCUUUUUUAAGGCUGAGACACGACGUCGAGCACCUACGGGUGUGAAGUCAUUGAUGCCAUGCUUCCAGGAAAAGCCUCUAAGCUUCAGAUUGUAAGGAAUCGUACCCCAAACCGACACAGGUGGUCGGGU
rnacentral:rRNA from 1 species